CACUACCCCUCCUACACAGUUACACACACACUACCCCUCCUACACAGUUACACACACACUACCCCUCCUACACAGUUACACACACACUACCCCUCCUACACAGGUACACACACACACACACACCCACUACCCCUCCUACAACCCUUCACAGUAAUUGUUUUAAAGUGUAUGUGUGUGUAGGCUUGUCAUUCCAGGACUUCUACCAGCGUUGUCGGGAAGCCUUCCUGGUGAACUCUGACCUCACCCUGCGUACCCAGCUCACAGAGUUCAGAGACCACAAACUCAUCCGCACACGCAAGGGUGCUGAUGGAGUGGAGUACCUGCUGGUUGCCGUGGAGACCAGCACUCUGACUGACUUCCUGGAGAAAGAAGUAGAGUGAGGAGAGGAUCAUGUUCCGUCUUUCUCUCCAACCCAAGAGAACUGGGCCUCACUGGGUCAGACAACUGGGCGGUAUUGAUAACGGGUCUCGUAGGGUCAGAGAACUGGGUCUCACUGGGUCAGAGAACUGGGCGGUAUUGAUAACGGGUCUCGUAGGGUCAGAUAACUGGGCGGUAUUGAUAACUGGUCUCGUAGGGUCAGAGAACUGGGCGGUAUUGAUAACUGGUCUCGUAGGGUCAGAGAACUGGGCGGUAUUGAUAACGGGUCUCGUAGGGUCAGAGAACUGGGCGGUAUUGAUAACUGGUCUCGUAGGGUCAGAGAACUGGGCGGUAUUGAUAACUGGUCUCGUAGGGUCAGAGAACUGGGCGGUAUUGAUAACGGGUCUCGUAGGGUCAGAUAACUGGGCGGUAUUGAUAACAGGUCUCGUAGGGUCAGACAACUGGGCGGUAUUGAUAACUGGUCUCGUAGGGUCAGAGAACUGGGCGGUAUUGAUAACGGGUCUCGUAGGGUCAGAGAACUGGGCGGUAUUGAUAACGUCGGAGUCGUUUUUGCCUUU